UAUCUGGUUCGACGAGUUCCAAAAAGCGAAUGUGCUGUCGAAGGAUGGCACAGACGCUCGACCAACGACUUAUCUAAAGUGCCAUCGCUACACGGUGAAAAGAGGUUCAUGUGGUGGUACUGCAAGGAUUAAGGACGAUACCCUGUACCUGGGGAAGGAUCACUCAUGUGGCGACAUGAGUGAUGAGUACCUUAUUUUGCAGGCCAAGGCACGGAUGAAAUUUCGAGCUGGGCAAACUACCGAACCGCUGAGGGACAUUUGGAACUCUGUCCUUAGCCAGUCGACUGAGGCCGUGAAGAAAAACCUCAAGUUCGAGGCUGCCGAGUCCAUCA